AACUUCCUAACAGGGCCCUGAGUGCACUAAUGGGCUUCAAUUACUUUGACCACUCUCACAUGGGACCUCCACCCACACACCAAUGACCAUGGGACUGAGAUAUUUCUUAAGUGCAAGCCCAAGAGUAGGAGCUCUUACUUGAGCUGUGAGGCAACCGUAGGACACUUCUCCAGUCCUGUUUUGUCAUGAGUCAUUACCUGGGUUAUCUUGGAUUGAUCUUGGAUCUGCAUUGUUACCUUGCCUUUACCUGAUGUCACGGGGAGGGACCUGCUGCUCUUCCUGCUCAGAGGCUGUGGGGCCAUGCCCCAAUGCAGGUUUUACAUGGCUGCUGAUGCGGCUUGUUGGGAGCCUGCACUGUAAGAGCCUUGUUUCACAGCUCUGGCUGGGACAGAAGUCUUCAGAUGUAAACACUUAGAGGAGACCGAAAGGAGAGGAGAUUAUGAUGGGCAGGACAAAGACAAUUUCUCCUUUUCUCCAGAGGUGUGCUGGGUAUCUCAGCACAGGGAGAGCUGUUUUAGUCAGCCACCUCUCCUUCACCAACCCUGCCCUUGCCGUCUGCUGCUUCCUUGGAUGACAAGAUUGCUUUGAUCAUGUUUUCCCACAGAACAACUGAAUAGUCUGGGAUCCCAGGAGCACUGUUGGAGUGAGAUUUAAGGGCUUAUCAAGCUGUAGCUCUGGACUCAGAGUUGAAAACGCUCUUGUGCGGAUCUAUUCACUAUACCUUAGGCACAUGGUCACUGCCUUCCUGCCCUGGCAGAUGUGGAAGGCAGUAUCUCCCUCUGGACUUUUGCUUAUGCCAGCAGACCUGCUGGAGUGAGCCUUCCCUCCUUUACCACCAUCCAAAUGGAAAGGACAAAGCCCACCUGGAUUUGUCCACAGCCUCAUUAUCUCUGCUAGUGCUGGUAUGGCUGUACUUCACUACCUUUCAUGUUAUUCUUAACGAUACCAGAGAAACCUAUCUGGUCACUAAGCAAACCUACACCACCCCAGACAGUGCAGACUGUCUUUUGAACCCCCAAUUGAUUUUCUUUUCCAGUCAUCUGCCUGUUUCUGUUCAACAGCUGCAGUCCUCUUAUUCAGCAGGAAAAGUCAGGCAUAGUUAAAACAAAACAAAAUAAAAC